rnacentral:rRNA from 2 species
UAGGGAAUCUUCGGCAAUGGACGAAAGUCUGACCGAGCAACGCCGCGUGAGUGAAGAAGGUUUUCGGAUCGUAAAACUCUGUUGUUAGAGAAGAACAAGGACGUUAGUAACUGAACGUCCCCUGACGGUAUCUAACCAGAAAGCCACGGCUAACUACGUGCCAGCAGCCGCGGUAAUACGUAGGUGGCAAGCGUUGUCCGGAUUUAUUGGGCGUAAAGCGAGCGCAGGCGGUUUCUUAAGUCUGAUGUGAAAGCCCCCGGCUCAACCGGGGAGGGUCAUUGGAAACUGGGAGACUUGAGUGCAGAAGAGGAGAGUGGAAUUCCAUGUGUAGCGGUGAAAUGCGUAGAUAUAUGGAGGAACACCAGUUGCGAAGGCGGCUCUCUGGUCUGUAACUGACGCUGAGGCUCGAAAGCGUGGGGAGCAAACAGG